GACGAACGCUGGCGGCGUGCUUAACACAUGCAAGUCGAACGGUGAAGCGAGUGCUUGCACUCGUGGAUCAGUGGCGAACGGGUGAGUAACACGUGAGUAACCUGCCCAUCACUCUGGGAUAAGCACUGGAAACGGUGUCUAAUACUGGAUACGACCAACCCUUGCAUGGGGUGUUGGUGGAAAGAUUUAUCGGUGAUGGAUGGACUCGCGGCCUAUCAGCUUGUUGGCGGGGUAAUGGCCCACCAAGGCGACGACGGGUAGCCGGCCUGAGAGGGUGACCGGCCACACUGGGACUGAGACACGGCCCAGACUCCUACGGGAGGCAGCAGUGGGGAAUAUUGCACAAUGGGCGAAAGCCUGAUGCAGCGACGCCGCGUGAGGGAUGACGGCCUUCGGGUUGCAAACCUCUUUCAGCAGGGAAGAAGCGAAAGUGACGGUACCUGCAGAAGAAGCACCGGCUAACUACGUG
rnacentral:rRNA from 1 species